rnacentral:lncRNA from 10 species
CACAAGUUUUCUUGCCUGACACCGUGAUAAGAUGUACAUUUGCUCCUUCUUUGCCUUCCACCAUGAUUGUGAUGCCUCCCCAGCCAUGUGGAACUCCUUAACUACUAUCAGGAAUCUUGAGGAUCUUCAAAGCAGACUCCUGAAGCAUUUACUGAGGAUAACAAAAAGAAAAGGAUACUGAGGAAGACCACGAGGAAAAACCAGAAGAUGGCCAUCCACAAGCCUAGGAGAGUAGCCUCAGAAGAAACCAUCCCUGCUGACAUCUUGAUCUUGGACUUCUAGACUCCAGAAUUGAAAGAAUGAACAUUUGACCUUUGUCGCGGACUUCCCAAAAAAGGAAGGAAACUACUCUCGCAUCCAUCCAUGUCAUCUACAUGAUUGUGUAGAAGAUCUUGUUUCCUGAGCUAUCUUGAUCCACAGGGCUUUUUGAUCACUGGAUUAGAAAUUUCUCCUGCACUCUCAUUUUGAGAAUAAAUUGCUCGUGGGCUACCCCCAUAACUUUGGGGAGAAAAAAGAAAAUUGACUGUGCUUAUGAGUUGGACACAUGAAAAUGAACAGAUAUGAGCAGGCAGAAGUUGAGUUAAUCACUCCCUCAAAUUUAAUCACGAGGAAAGCUCCCCUCUUCUCUCGAAGAUUUCCAUGUGGCUAUGGUUGCAAGUGACCCUGUCCUUUCAGUCAUGGGUCUGGCGAAUGUGAAAUUAUUUUGGUAUGUCGAUCUGAAAUGCCUCCCAUGAUUACUUUGGAGUUAUCAAAUGGAGGUCAGAAACAAGGCAGUAAGGUCUCUCACCUUUCAAAAAAACAAGAUUUGAGGAGAGCAUAGUUUCUGAGUGGGAUAAUUCAACAGAGUUGGGAAUGAGAAGGGUCUCAGGGCUGGGAUAUAGAUGCUACCUGUCAAAAUGGAAGAGAGCAGCUGAGGAGAUGCGAGCUCAGACUGCUUCAGGCAGCACUCCUCAUUACUCAUGCUUUCAUCGCUAUUAAAAUGCAUUCCCAGGUCUUUCACUGUGCAAAAAUGAUUUUGGUCAAAAUGCAUUGAAAAUAUAAUGGCGUGAAUAGGAGAAAUACCAGUUUCCUGCCUGUAGCACUACUCAGAUUUAGGAUUUAUUAUUUUUAAAGUCAGUACAUAAAAUUGCCUUAGAAAGAGUCUCCUGCAUUUCAAGUAGCCUUUUUCUUAAGGAAAGUCUUCUGAAGUUGAGUUUAACUGCAAAGGAAAUACAACGUGAAAACACAGUAUAAAUUAGAGUGGUUAUUGCUCUGCAUCACUUUGUGUGUUCCUAUAGCAACCCCUCCAAUUUUACUUGCCCCUUAUUGACCAGGCACAUUUUUCGUGACUGCUCACAGCAGAAUAAAAAAUGAAGAAGAAAAAGAAAAUGAGGUGGGGGAUGAGAAUUAAAGCUAUCUUUUGUUCUUUUACAACCACAGGUUAACUGGUUAUAAAUGUCCCCCUUCCUUCAAAUAAGUGUCAUGGAGUUUUCCUUGCUUAAAUUAAUUCUUUCCAAGCAGUCCACAGAAACAAUCAGCCCCAUAUUCUUACCCGAAGCAUUUGGAUUCUGAGACAAAUGCAGCCCCAUGACUAUGUAUAUUAGCCAGAUGCAGGCUAUAUUUACCCACCCUAUGCUUACAGCAACUGCACUGUCAAGAGAAAUGUAAAUAUUAAUGAAGGAUGUUUCCCAGGAUAGGAUCUUCAGUGAGUGCUCUUCAUCUGUCAAAACUGACUCAAUCAGUACACACUUUCUGGACAGAUCGAAUGUUUAUAGAGCCAUAAAUUGACAUUUAUCUGACAAUUUUUGUAUUCCUAUCAAAUGGCUUUCUUUACUAGGCCUAGGCAUUUCAACACACGGUUGGUGUUACUGUGGAGAAAUUAAACAUACACUCUCCUUCACAUUUUUCAAGUGAAGAUAAGAAUAAACUGGAUGUACAGCUAGUGGCCCUUUCAAGAGUUAUUUGGGUAUGAAAUGUAAACAUUGGCCUAAGUAAAAAGGUAGAGAUAAAUCCUAAUACAGUACUUUACCCUUGUCUGUUAGGAAAGGAAAAAAUCCUAUUAUAAAAGUACUCAUUAUUAAAUUAAUUGUGAAAUAACAUGAUGUAUAUGCAUAAAGAGAUACUUGUGUUAUAGUCUCCAAAAUAUUAACAGAUGAUGAGAUUGCUACUUUCUUUUCUGUGACUUUUUUUUCCGAAAACAAAACAAAUCUAUAAAAAUAAAUCUAAACUACUUGUUUUUCAAAAGUUAAAUAUAACUGUUAAAAGAAUAAAACUUACAUAAUAUAUGCACACUCAAACAUACACAUACACACAAACCCUGUAAGUUAAAUAACUCUUAAGAAUAGGAAGACACUAGCUGUUACUGACAUUUACCAUAUGCCUGCCAAUUUCCAACAGGACCAUAU